GCCGGGCAUGGUGGUGCGUGCCUGUAGUCCCAGCUACUCGAGAGGCUGAGGCAGGAGAAUCACUUGAGCCCGGGAGAUGGAGGUUGCAGUGAGCUGAGAUCUCGCCACUGCACUCCAACUUGGGCAACAAAGUGAGACUUUGUCUCAA
rnacentral:SRP_RNA from 1 species